UCCACGACCUGAUUGAUGAAAGAAGACAAGAAUGGAAAUCCAAGAAAAAAACCAUGUCUGCAAUAAUCAAGGAGGUGUGUGAUGGGUGGUCUCUUGCCAACCAUGAAUGCUUUGCACUGCAACAUGCUGACAGUUCACACUUGUAUAUCAUGGAAAAGUAUUACAAAAUUGUACCUGGCGACACAUUAAGAGGGGAUGAUGGGGGAUGAAAUUCGGAAUAUGUUGAUAGCCCUCUGCAAGACAGCCCAAUGCAAGAUUAGUCAUAGAAGCAGAGGAGACAAAGAUGCUC